rnacentral:rRNA from 1 species
GUACGAACGCUGGCGGCGUGCUUAACACAUGCAAGUCGAGCGAUGAAGUUUCUUCGGAAAUGGAUUAGCGGCGAACGGGUGAGGAACACGUGAAGAAUCUGCCCUCCACUUUGGGAUAACACCGGGAAACCGGUGCUAAUACCGAAUAUUGAAACAUAAGUGGCAUCACUGAGUUUUUAAAGAAUUUCGGUGGAGGAUGACUUCGCGGCCUAUCAGCUAGUUGGUGAGGUAAUGGCUCACCAAGGCAACGACGGGUAGCCGGCCUGAGAGGGCGACCGGCCACACUGGGACUGAGACACGGCCCAGACUCCUACGGGAGGCAGCAGUGGGGAAUAUUGGGCAAUGGAGGAAACUCUGACCCAGCGACGCCGCGUGCGGGAUGAAGGCCUUCGGGUUGUAAACCGCUUUCAGUAGGGAAGAAGCGAAAGUGACGGUACCUACAAAAGAAGCACCGGCUAACUAUGUGCCAGCAGCCGCGGUAAUACAUAGGAUGCAAGCGUUGUCCGGAAUUAUUGGGCGUAAAGAGCUCGUAGGUCGUUUGCCACGUCGGAUGUGAAAACCUGAGGCUCAACCUCAGGCCUGCAUUCGAUACGAGCAAACUAGAGUUUGGUAGGGGAGACUGGAAUUCCUGGUGUAGCGGUGGAAUGCGCAGAUAUCAGGAGGAACACCAACGGCGAAGCAGGUCUCUUGGGCCAAUACUGACACUGAGGAGCGAAAGUCUGGGGAGCGAACAGGAUUAGAUACCCCGGUAGUCCACGCCGUAACGAUGAUCACUAGUAGUAUGAAGAUUCGACCUUUGUGCUACGAA